rnacentral:lncRNA from 1 species
UCCAAAGAACAGCAUUACAAGAGUUCAGAAAUUAGAUAUUCCAUUGCCCCUUUUACCAGCAAAAGGGUAUGAAAUUGGAUUUUUCCUUCAAUCUAAUUCGCUUUUCCAAUAUUAUAAUUAACUUGACAAAUAGAUCUCAACUUCUGCACCUUCCCUUUUGCCUGAACACUUUAUAGGCACAACAUAAUGAUUCUAGUUAUUAGCUCACUUUAGGCUAAAAAUAAGAGGACUAACAAUACACUAACAUUUCCAUUAUCAAUCAGAAACUGGUAGGUCAGCUCCUUGAAUGAUAUGUUGCUCAGCACAUUAAAUCCUUGAACUCAGCAAAAAUAUAUAAAUACUUUUGCUCCUGAAGUUAUGGUUUAAGAGAGUCAUGGGGCAGGAUAAAUUGGAAAUGAGGAGGACAAUCAAUUUGGAUUGGUCUAAAUGGAAGAAUAAUGGAUUGCCAUUUUUUUCCUUUACCUAGUAUAGAAACUGAGUGCCCAUGCUAUCGGUUUGGUAUCAAAGAGGAAGCAAAGAGUAACCAAUCAAAAACAAACUUCUACUUGCUUUUGUGCUGGUACCAUCUGCUGUACACACAUCACCUUGUGACAGGGCCAAUGGACAUCUACCAACUGAUACCAUUAAAGCAGAGUGAAGAACAAAGUAUUCUCCUUUCACUUGGGCACCAGAGGACCUGGCUUUUGUGCUUAAAGCUAGUGCCAAUGCUGAGUUUCAGUCACUGCAGAUUCCACAGAUUGAUCAUCCAUCUCCUCCCACACAUUCAUUACUGCCAACAUUUUGAAACUUCAAUAGUGCCUCCAGGUUUCAAGACUUAAAAAGGAUUCAAAAGACACCAAAGGUUCACUUUGGACUGAAAGCUAAAUGUGAACCUUUCAAAAUGAACUCAUUGCUGCCUUCCUCUCAAAAGGGUAAAAUGUUUUUUAUUAAGAAUCCUUGGGGUAGUGGAUAAUUAUUCAACUAGAAAUGUUGAGAAUGAUAAGAGAACUGUUCCUAUUAUGAAAUACGUGGAUCUGUUUAGAUGUGUUUGUCGAGGCCUGUUUUUCACCUUUCAUAGCUCUUAAUAUUAAAAACUCACCCCUUUUUUUCACCUAUUUCUAAAGGCUUCAGAUGGUCAGAUAAAGUACCUGAUGCUGAAAAACAGGAAAUUGAAUCAUGUCUCCAAAAUGUGCCUUUUGUCAUGCACUGUUACAGCUGUAUUUCUUGGUAAGUCUGAUGUUCUCCUUUAUGCAUAUUUUGUGAUUACAAGAUUGUUAUUGACCUCUUGGGAUUUUAAUCAAAAGCCUGUGGAUUCAUAAACCCAGGCUUUCUAUUAAGAUGAUGCUGAAAUUAGGAUUGGG